UUGACGGGGCCGCACAAGCGGAGGAACAUGUGGUUAAUCGAUGAUACGCGAGGAACCUUACCUGGGCUUAAAUGUAGAGUGCAUUUUUAGAGAUAGAAAUUCCCUUCGGGGCUUUCUGCAAGGUGCUGCAUGGUUGUCGUCAGCUCGUGCCGUGAGGUGUCGGGUUAAGUCCCAUAACGAGCGCAACCCUUAUCGUUAGUUGCCAUCUGGUAAUGCAGGGGACUCUAGCGAAACUGCCACCGUAAGGUGAGAGGAAGGUGGGAUGACGUCAAAUCAGCACGGCCCUUAUGUCCAGGGCUACACACGUGUUACAAUGGUCGGUACAGAGGGCAGCUACCUGGUGACAGGAUGCUAAUCUCGAAAACCGGUCUCAGUUCGGAUCGAAGUCUGCAACUCGACUUCGUGAAGCUGGAUUCGCUAGUAAUCGCGCAUCAGCUAUGGCGCGGUGAAUACGUUCCCGGGCCUU
rnacentral:rRNA from 1 species